UAUCUGCGAAUUUGGUCAUGCGCUCCAUC
rnacentral:sRNA from 1 species